rnacentral:rRNA from 1 species
UACGGGGGAGCAAGCGUUGUUCGGAUUUACUGGGCGUAAAGGGCGGGUAGGCGGCCACUGCAAGUCGGUUGUGAAAUCUCCGGGCUUAACUCGGAAAGGUCAAUCGAUACUGCAGGCUAGAGUGCAGAAGGGGCAACUGGAAUUCUCGGUGUAGCGGUGAAAUGCGUAGAUAAUCGGGAGGAAUACCGGUGGCGAAGGCGGCAUCCUGGACCAUAA